rnacentral:rRNA from 1 species
UUCCUACGGGGGGCAGCAGUAGGGAAUCUUUCACAAUGGGCGAAAGCCUGAUGGAGCAACGCCGCGUGCAGGAUGAAGGCCUUCGGGUUGUAAACUGCUUUUAUAAGCGAGAAAUAUGAUGGUAACUUAUGAAUAAGGAUCGGCUAACUACGUGCCAGCAGCCGCGGUAAUACGUAGGGGGCAAGCGUUAUCCGGAUUUACUGGGUGUAAAGGGAGCGUAGACGGCAGCGCAAGUCUGGAGUGAAAUGCCGGGGCCCAACCCCGGAACUGCUCUGGAAACUGUGAAGCUGGAGUGCAGGAGAGGG